rnacentral:rRNA from 1 species
GAUGAACGCUGGCGGCGUGCCUAAUACAUGCAAGUCGAGCGAACAGACGAGGAGCUUGCUCCUCUUACGUUAGCGGCGGACGGGUGAGUAACACGUGGAUAACCUACCUAUAAGACUGGGAUAACUUCGGGAAACCGGAGCUAAUACCGGAUAAUAUAUUGAACCGCAUGGUUCAAUAGUGAAAGACGGUUUUGCUGUCACUUAUAGAUGGAUCCGCGCCGCAUUAGCUAGUUGGUAAGGUAACGGCUUACCACGGCAACGAUGCGUAGCCGACCUGAGAGGGUGAUCGGCCACACUGGAACUGAGACACGGUCCAGACUCCUACGGGAGGCAGCAGUAGGGAAUCUUCCGCAAUGGGCGAAAGCCUGACGGAGCAACGCCGCGUGAGUGAUGAAGGUCUUCGGAUCGUAAAACUCUGUUAUUAGGGAAGAACAAAUGUGUAAGUAACUAUGCACGUCUUGACGGUACCUAAUCAGAAAGCCACGGCUAACUACGUG